ensembl:lncRNA
AGGCUGUGUAGUAUUUAAUAAAGUUGCACAGUGUUAUGUAGUAUUUAAUCAUGAGGUGUAGUAUUUAAUCAGGCUGUGUAGUAUUUAAUAAAGUUGUACAGUGUUGUGUAGUAUUUAAUCAUGAGGUGCAGUAUUUAAUAAAGUUGUAUAGUGUUGUGUAGUAUUUAAUCAUGAGGUGUAGUAUUUAAUAAAGUUGUACAGUGUUGUGUAGUAUUUAAUCAUGAGGUGUAGUAUUUAAUCAAGUGUAUAGUGUUGUGUAGUAUUUAAUCAUGAGGUGUAGUAUUUAAUCAUGAGGUGUAGUAUUUAAUCAAGUUGUAUAGUGUUGUGUAGUAUUUAAUCAUGAGGUGUAGUAUUUAAUCAGGCUGUGUAGUAUUUAAUAAAGUUGUACAGUGUUGUGUAGUAUUUAAUCAUGAGGUGUAGUAUUUAAU